rnacentral:rRNA from 1 species
UACGUAGGUGGCAAGCGUUGUUCGGAAUUACUGGGCGUAAAGCGCGCGUAGGCGGCUCUUCAAGUCAGACGUGAAAGCCCCGGGCUUAACUCGGGAACUGCGUUUGAUACUGUCGGGCUAGAGUGUGGAAGGGGCGAUUGGAAUUCCGUGUGUAGCGGUGAAAUGCGUAGAUAUACGGAGGAACACCAGGGGCGAAGGCGGAUCGCUGGGCCAACACUGACGCUGAUGUGCGAAAGCUAGGGGAGCAAACGGG